GAUAGCCUGCGGUGCUCGAGUUUCAUUAAAAGACCUCUCGGCCCUUAAUUAAAUAAACAGGGAUCAACGUCUGCAUUAGUAUUGUGCAUUACCAUUGAUUGGGAAGCCUACGUUAAUGCGUCAGAGCCCACCUAUUGCUCAGGCCUGAGAGCAACGUAUGGGACACGGUAUUGUGGGUCAUCU
rnacentral:other from 1 species